rnacentral:rRNA from 1 species
CACCACAGAAGGUAAUAGUCCUGUAUGUUAAACGAGAAGACUUUAGAUAUGAUCCAGAGUACCACGGGACACGUGAAACCCUGUGGGAAGCAGGAGGGACCACCCUCCAAGGCUAAAUACUACCUAGUGACCGAUAGCGUAUAGUACCGUGAGGGAAAGGUGAAAAGAACCCCGGGAGGGGAGUGAAAUAGAACCUGAAACCCUGCACUUACAAGCUGUGGAAGCACAUUUCUUGUGUGACCGCGUACUUUUUGUAGAACGGGCCAACGAGUUACGUUAAGUAGCAAGGUUAAGCACUUAAGGUGCGGAGCCGUAGCGAAAGCGAGUUUUAACUGAGCGUUCAGUUACUUGACGUAGACCCGAAACCGGGCGAUCUACCCAUGAGCAGGAUGAAGCGAAAGUAAAAUUUCGUGGAGGUCCGAACCCACGAGCGUUGAAAAGCUCGGGGAUGACUUGUGGGUAGCGGUGAAAUUCCAAUCGAGCCCGGAGAUAGCUGGUUCU